rnacentral:pre_miRNA from 1 species
AGUGGAAUAGCGGGGUCAAAUGGUGGUUCCAUUCUAAGUUUUCUAAGGAAUCUCCAUACUGCUUUCCAGAUUGGUUGCACCAAUUUGUGGCCCCACCAGCAAU